CCUGCCCCUAGAGGCACCACAGGUGUGGCUGCUGUGUCAAAAGUGUGUCAGUAGGUGGCAGAGAAGAGAGAGGCUGUGUCUACACUCAGUGUUCUGUCCUGGGACCAUCUGGGCCUAACACUCUCUGAAA